rnacentral:rRNA from 1 species
AAUGAACGUUGGCGGCGUGGAUUAGGCAUGCGAGUCGUGCGAGAAUCGUAGCAAUACGAGGACAGCGGCGCAAGGGAGAGGAAUAAGUAGAAAUCUACCCUCGGGUCGGGGAUAGCGGCGGGAAACUGCCGGUAAUACCCGAUAACGUCUUUGGACCAAAGGUGUGAUUCCGUCUGAGGAUGAGUCUACUUCCUAUUAGCUAGUGGGCGGGGUAAUGGCCCACCAAGGCGACGAUGGGUAGCAGGUGUGAGAGCAUGACCUGCCUCAUUGGGACUGAGACACUGACCAGACACCUACGGGUGGCUGCACUCGAGAAUCUUCGGCAAUGGACUAAAGUCUGACCGGGCGACGCCGCGUGCGGGAUGAAGGCCUUCGGGUUGUAAACCGCUGUCGUAGGGGAACAAAUGUAUGAGGGUACUCCCUUGUAUUUGAGUGAUCCUAGGAGGAAGGAGAGGCUAAGCUCGUGCCAGCAGCCGCCGUAACAC